UACGAAGGGUGCAAGCGUUAUCCGGAUUCAUUGGGUUUAAAGGGUGCGUAGGCGGUAUGAUAAGUCAGUGGUGAAAGCCUGCAGCUUAACUGCAGAACUGCCAUUGAUACUGUCAAUCUUGAGUACAUUUGAUGUGGGCGGAAUGUGUCAUGUAGCGGUGAAAUGCUUAGAUAUGACACAGAACACCGAUUGCGAAGGCAGCUCACAAAACUGUAACUGACGCUGAGGCACGAAAGCGUGGGUAUCAAACAGG
rnacentral:rRNA from 1 species